AGCAGCCGCGGUAAUUCCAGCUCCAAUAGCGUAUAUUAAAGUUGUUGCAGUUAAAAAGCUCGUAGUUGAAUUUCGGGGUCAAUAAGUUGGUCAUGCCAAUGGUAUGCACUGGCUUUAUUGAUUCCUACCUCUUGACGAACUGUGAUGCCAUUAAUUUGGUGUUGCAAGGAAUCAGGACUGUUACCUUGAAAAAAUUAGAGUGUUUAAAGCAAGCUUACGCUUGAAUACAUUAGCAUGGAAUAAUGAAAUAGGACGUUUGAUCCUAUUUUGUUGGUUUCUAGGAUCGACGUAAUGAUUAAUAGGGAUAGUUGGGGGCAUUAGUAUUCAAUUGUCAGAGGUGAAAUUCUUGGAUUUAUUGAAGACUAACUACUGCGAAAGCAUUUGCCAAGGAUGUUUUCAUUAAUCAAGAACGAAAGUUAGGGGAUCGAAGACGAUCAGAUACCGUCGUAGUCUUAACCAUAAACUAUGCCGACUAGGGAUCGGAUGAUGUUAAUUUUUAAUGACUCAUUC
rnacentral:rRNA from 1 species